AUUGAACGCUGGCAGCAGGCCUAACACAUGCAAGUCGAACGAGUGGCGGACGGGUGAGUAAUGUCUGGGGACCUGCCUGCUGGAGGGGGAUAACUACUGGAACCGGUAGCUAAUACCGCAUACCCUCGGAUGUGCCCAUAUGGGAUUAGCUAGUAGGUGGGGGAAAGGCUCACCUAGGCGACGAUCCCUAGCUGGUCUGAGAGGAUGCCCAGCCACACUGGAACUGAGAUACGGUCCAGAAGCCGACGGGAGGCAGCAGUGGGGAAUAUUGCACAAUGGGCGCAAGCCUGAGACAGCCAGGCCGCGUGUAUGAAGAAGGCCUUCGGGUUGUAAAGUACUUGCAGCGGGGAGGCGGUACCCGCAGAAGAAGCACCGGCUAACUCCGUGCCAGCAGCCGCGGUAAUGC
rnacentral:rRNA from 1 species